rnacentral:rRNA from 1 species
GUGCAGCAGGCGCGAAAACUUUACAAUGCCGGCAACGGCGAUAAGGGGACCUCGAGUGCCAGGUUACAAAUCUGGCUGUCGUGAUGCCUAAAAAGCAUUGCAUAGCAAGGGCCGGGCAAGACCGGUGCCAGCCGCCGCGGUAACACCGGCGGCUCGAGUGGUAACCGUUAUUAUUGGGUCUAAAGGGUCUGUAGCCGGCCGGAUAAGUCUCUUGAGAAAUCUGGCAGCUUAACUGUCAGGCUUUCAGGAGAUACUGUCUGGCUCGAGGCCGGGAGAGGUGAGAGGUACUUCAGGGGUAGGGGUGAAAUCUUGUAAUCCUUGAAGGACCACCAGUGGCGAAGGCGUCUCACCAGAACGGACCUGACGGCAAGGGACGAAAGCUAGGGGCACGAACCGGAUUAGAUACCCGGGUAGUCCUAGCCGUAAACGAUACUCGCUAGGUGUCGGCCACGGUGCGACCGUUGUCGGUGCCGUAGGGAAGCCGUGAAGCGAGC